rnacentral:rRNA from 1 species
AUUGAACGCUGGCGGAAUGCUUUACACAUGCAAGUCGAACGGCAGCACGGACUUCGGUCUGGUGGCGAGUGGCGAACGGGUGAGUAAUGUAUCGGAACGUGCCCAGUCGGGGGGGAUAACGUAGUGAAAAUUACGCUAAUACCGCAUCCGAUCUAUGGACGAAAGCGGGGGAUCGCAAGACCUCGCGCGAUUGGAGCGGCCGAUAUCAGAUUAGGUAGUUGGUGGGGUAAAGGCCCACCAAGCCAACGAUCUGUAGCUGGUCUGUGAGGACGACCAGCCACACUGGAACUGAGACACGGUCCAGACUCCUACGGGAGGCAGCAGUGGGGAAUUUUGGACAAUGAGCGAAAGCCUGAUCCAGCCAUUCCGCGUGCAGGAUGAAGGCCCUCGGGUUGUAAACUGCUUUUGUACAGAACGAAAAGGUUUCUACUAAUACUAGGAGCUCAUGACGGUACUGUAAGAAUAAGCACCGGCUAACUACGUGCCAGCCGCCGCCGUAA